rnacentral:lncRNA from 1 species
AUUUUUUCUUUUAUUGUAAAGGCAGUUUCUUGAGAAAUGUACUAAUUAUUGAGGGCAGCGUUUAAUACUUAGUGUUUCCUUUGAGAUAUCUCUGACUUUCCAAAUAUGCGAUUUGAUUUCUUUUGCUACUAUGAAACCAAAUUAGACUUAUUUAUGUGAUUUAUUAUUUACUAAAUUAUAAAUCGCCGUGAUUUCUUAAAAUGGUUUCUUAAGUUGCAAAAAUUUAUACAGAGAACACGAAAGGAUCUUCUGCAAGAACUAGAUACGGGAGAGUUUUUCACUAUCCUGCAUAAAAGCUGUGAAGUCUACUUCCAAAAGUACUACUUUGGCAAGUCUCACAACUCUGUUCUCCAGGUUUUGUUAUUUUUUUUUUUCCUGAAGCAUAACAUGUAUUCUCUAAAGUGCACAAAUCUUAAAUGUGCAGCUGGACAAAUGUGAGCAAAAUGACCACACCUGUGUAUCUGCCAGCCAGAUCAACAUGCACACCCUCAGGAGAAUGACCACGACCACUGUGAUUACAGCCACCACCCUCAAAGGUCCGGUCUACUUUGUCAGACUCUAAACAAGGGCUCACACUCUGCAACCGAGAAACUCCCCAGAAUUCCCCAUUUUCCUUUGUAAAGGCACUUGAGUCAGCUGCUCUCGGAUUUGUGGGGCCGGAGGGAAAUGGAGACGGGAACAGAAGGGCAGACGUCAGAGCUCCAUGACAGCAUCUUGUGUUCAUCUUUGUUCCUGUUUUGGAAGAGGGUAAAGAUAAAUUUCAGAUAUCAUUUUCAUCUAGUUUAUACCAGGAGAAAAGUAACCAUUCACUUCAUUCUCUUCCAAGCUCAUGGAAUUCUGUAUCAAUGAAAAAAUCACAUAGAAGCCAAUUUUGGAUCAAGUAAGAAAAAGAGGGAUAUCUUAGAUAAUCCUCUUUAAAGGAGAUUACCUAAGUGAUUAUUACUGGAAUGAGUAAGCCGGCUUAGUUUGGCUUGUAGUGCUUUAGGAACAUAUAACUGAAAUUUUAAACACAUAUACUGUGAUAUAACAGAUAUCUUAAAUGGCAGGAAGCAUCAAUUUGACUAAAUUUAUUGGCUUAAUUCCAAGGACUGUUCUCUUCAGAAUUGUUCUCAAAAAAUAUAACUUUGAGUCCAGACUUAAAUUGGAAGUUCUCCCAAAUAUAUGCCUUGUUUCCUGCCCAUUAGAAUUUAGACUAAUUGAAAUUUUAUAAAUAAGAUAAAAUCAAUAAUGUACACUGAAUUUUCAUGUAUAUAUUCAACUUUUUGAUUUAUUCAUUUUUGUAAAAAAUAAUAAUUUAUACCUCACGUUUGCAAGGUUAU